AUGCACGCUGGCGGCGUGCCUAAUACAUGCAAGUCGAGCGAACGGACGAGAAGCUUGCUUUUCUGAUGUUAGCGGCGGACGGGUGAGUAACACGUGGAUAACCUACCUAUAAGACUGGGAUAACUUCGGGAAACCGGAGCUAAUACCGGAUAAUAUUUUGAACCGCAUGGUUCAAAAGUGAAAGACGGUCUUGCUGUCACUUAUAGAUGGAUCCGCGCUGCAUUAGCUAGUUGGUAAGGUAACGGCUUACCAAGGCAACGAUGCAUAGCCGACCUGAGAGGGUGAUCGGCCACACUGGAACUGAGACACGGUCCAGACUCCUACGGGAGGCAGCAGUAGGGAAUCUUCCGCAAUGGGCGAAAGCCUGACGGAGCAACGCCGCGUGAGUGAUGAAGGUCUUCGGAUCGUAAAACUCUGUUAUUAGGGAAGAACAUAUGUGUAAGUAACUGUGCACAUCUUGACGGUACCUAAUCAGAAAGCCACGGCUAACUACGUG
rnacentral:rRNA from 1 species